rnacentral:rRNA from 1 species
AUGCCCUGCCAUGGGAAGAAGCACGUCCCUUCAAAUCUUGAUGAUAAUAUGGAGUUGUGGAAGAAACUGAAAGACCGUAAUGACACCAAAAUAACUUUCAAAGGAUUGCUAGCCAAGAUGAAAGUCGACAGCACACCAAAUUUUGUUAGGCCAUUUGUCUUGUACACCAUAGGCAAAUAUGUAUGCCGAACAAAAGAGGAGUAUGUCGAUAACAAAUAUAUUGAAAUUGUUAGAAACGUUGAGACGAUAAAGGGCACAAAUCUUGGACAGCUAACGCUUGACUAUCUUAUGGAUAGCAUGAAGAAUUUUGUAAAUGGUGAGGCAAUUCUGGAGGGGAAUCUACCACUGCUGCAGGUAAUUCGUAGUAGUACAAUUAUCAGUUACCUGACAUACAUUACAUAA